GAACGUGCGAAACGUAAUGUGAAUUGCAGAAUUCAGUGAAUCAUCGAAUCUUUGAACGCAUCUUGCGCUCCUUGGUAUUCCGAGGAGCAUGCCUGUUUGAGUGUCGUGAAUACUCUCAACUUCAACCCUUUUUUCAAAAGGAGCGAGGUUGGAUUUGGGUGCUUGUUGAAGCGCGAGCUUCGACUCCCCCUAAAUGCAUUAGCGAUCUGCCUCGAUCACACACAAUGUGAUAAUUAAAACUAAAGCAUUGUUUAACGAUCAAGCCGAGACUGCUUCUAACUGUCACACAAGACAAUAACGUGCCUAGCAUGUCAUUUGACCUCAAAUCAGGUAGGACUACCCGCUGAACUUAA
rnacentral:misc_RNA from 1 species